rnacentral:rRNA from 1 species
UACGUAGGGUGCAAGCGUUAAUCGGAAUUACUGGGCGUAAAGCGUGCGCAGGCGGUUGUGCAAGACAGAUGUGAAAUCCCCGGGCUCAACCUGGGAACUGCAUUUGUGACUGCACGGCUAGAGUGUGUCAGAGGGGGGGUAGAAUUCCACGUGUAGCAGUGAAAUGCGUAGAUAUGUGGAGGAAUACCGAUGGCGAAGGCAGCCCCCUGGGUCAAGAUUGACGCUCAUGCACGAAAGCGUGGGGAGCAAACAGG